UGCAAAAUUGUGCUUUUUCAAUUUCUGAUUCAGUCAAAAUUUCUGUUCCAGACAUGCAGUAAUGAGGAUGGCACCAGUAUAAAGCAACACACUCCACACACUAAACAGAAGCCGCUACCUGCUACAACAAGGUCAUUGUGUGGACAUUGGCUGCUACUACAAGAGUCCAUGCCAAGCAUAUCUUGGUCAUCACAGGAGCUCAUAUCCACACCAACAGAAAGAAGCAUGGAGCCGAAUUUGCAAGGCUUUUACACCACGAACAAAGAAGCGCAUGCAGAAGAAUUUGCAUGAGAUAUCAAGUCUGCAGAGCACUGUGCCAAGACUGAAAAGAGCUUCAGCCACCAUUCCACCAGCACGGACAAAUUGGCUGAGUCAUCCAGGUAACUCAAAACGGACUUUAUAGAAAUUCUUCGUCUUCAGAUGCACCUGCAACUUCUGAUCAAGCACGGACGACGCUGGCCAAAAUAGUUCCAUCAGUUUGCCCUUAAUCAGCUUCCUGGCCAUGUCAAUUCCAUUUGUGCCAAGUGUAAUUUUUCUUCUAUAAAUGCAAGCUUUUUCAUUGCCCAUUCUCGUUAGAGAUCAUUCAUCCUCAUCCAAACAUAAAGGUCAACCGAUUCUUCGCUGAUACUUAAUACCAGUCACUGUCUAGUAGCAUAACAUAUCUGUAGCAGUACCUUCUAGUGUACGUUGUCAUGCACAAUUCCUCUCAUGAAAUAGCUGAUGCAACAUCGACAUGUGUCUUACAUUAACCUACGCACCCUUCGCUAUGCACCAUUUUACUUUUCUUAAUGUUUUUUGCCUUCAAUGCUUGCAAGAGCAGAGUUGCUUCUCUCUUGAAUGCAAGCUUUCUCAUUUUCCAUAUUCCAUAUUCCUAGUCUCGUUCAUGAUUGCUCUUCCUCGAUAGCCUGGGUCUUUGCGCAAGUUACACUAAAUGAUUGAUUGCAGAAUCUCGUUUUGCUGACCCACUUGGUUGUGGUCGCCGUGUUACAUUUCUCGGAUGUGGGGGCCUGGUCAGUUGCAUUGGUAAGCAGUCUCUCGAGAUAAGCAUUUGCUCCUGCAGUCCGCACAGCGACAUAGACUCCCAGUAUACACGCAUCGUAACUGGUGCUCCCAUUUGUUCCUUCCUGCUGCAGCCAUAGGCAAAUUGUACUUGUGGCUUACCUCGGCCAUGAUUUGCUCAGAAUGGAGACCAGCAUAUCUGCUUACAUGGUUCGAAGUAUAUGAAGUUGAUAGCCGUAUGGGUGGAAAGGCCCGCAAAAAUGGCGGCCGAAGGUGAUUCCCACGAAAGCGACUUGUCCAUAUUGAGACAAAGUGGGACACCAAAUGUGAGCCACGCAUUGGCGGCCCUCGACAGAAAAGGAACGUGCAGGUUGGAAAGGAGUGAACGCUAAAAUGCCGGAUAGUCCAUUUCGCUGUGUUGGUUGCGGCAGCAGAUGCCUGCGUCACCUGAUUGCUUCGCAAUGGAAGUUGCUCAUCUUCAACGGCAACUGUCGGUUCAAACAGGUGCGACGCUCUGUCCAAUCUGUUUGUACUGCUGGUUGUCGCUCGUUACCAGAACACCACAUGCGACGAAGGCAAGCAUUGUGCCUGUAAGUAGCCGGCUGAAUGUAUCCUAAGAGACCCGUGAGUGUGAAUGCUCACUGUUGCCAUAUGGUUCGUCACCAAUGUAUAACGUAUUCUCUGGACUUCAUGCAUUGAUUGAUUGCUGUUUAAUUUCGCUGUUACCUUACUUGGUUACGGUCGCCGUGUUAUGUUUUUUGAAUAUGGCGGCCAGGUCAGUUGCAUUGGGAAGCAGUCUCUCGAAGUAAGCAUUUGCUCCUCCUGUCCACACAGCGACAGUGGCUCCCAAUUCCACACACCGUGAUUCGUGCUACCCGUUCAGCCUUUCCUGCUGCAGCCAUGGACAAAUUGUGCCUGUGGCCUUUCCUCGCUGCGAUUAAGCACGAACAGAGACCAGCACACGUGCUUACAUGGUCCGACGUGUAUGAAGUUUGGUGGAAAGGCCCGCGAAAGCGACUUGUCCAUACUGAGAUAAUGUGGGACACCAAGUGCGAGCCACACAUUAGCGGCCCCCGAAAGAAAAGGAACGUGCAGGUUGGAAAGGCGUUAAUGCUAAAAUGCCGGGUAGUCCAUAUCGCUGUGUUGGCUGCGGCAGCAGAUGCCUGGUUCACGCGAUUGCUUCGCAAUGCAAGUUGUUCAUCUUUAACGGCGACUGCCGCUGCAGACAGGCGGGACACUCUGUUCAAUAUGCUUGCGCCGCUGGUUGUCGCUCGUUACUAGACCGCCAUGUGCGACGACGACGAUGAGCCGUUUACGAGCUCGCGCCAAAGAUUCCAGCGUAUCUCGACAUACAAAUUUUAUUUCUGCUAUUGCACGAGAAUGUACACUUCUUGUCUUCUGCCAAUAAAGUCGCACGUUUUGUUCA